CCGAGUUCAUGCCCUUCACGGGUAGAUCUCCCACCCUUUGUAUACCUUACCUUUGUUGCUUUGGCGGGCCGCCUAGCUACUGGCUUCGGCUGGUAAGUGCCCGCCAGAGGACCCAAAACCCUAAAUUAUUCGUGUCGUCUGAGUAAAAUAUUUUAAUAUUUA
rnacentral:misc_RNA from 1 species